rnacentral:misc_RNA from 1 species
AAGAACUAAUAGAAGUACAUAUCCUUAUUAAUUAUAAAUAUUAAAGUGGUAUUAUAAGUAAUUACAUCUGUAGUUAUUGUUUUAUAUAGUCUUUUUUGCUAGAACGUGCCAACUAUAGUUUAAUAAUUAAAAUAGGAAAUUGAAAGGUCGGUUCAUUUCUCUCUUUACAUUUUUACUUUUUCUUGGUUUUGACAUUGUCUUCUUCAGUUGCUCUAUUCUUCUUCUGGGCUUCUCCUCCUACUUGUAUCUUGCCAUUUUAUCUAUAAUUUUUAUGAUUUGCUGCUGCUUCAUCUUCUUCUCCGCUCCACCUCCUCAUCCUUCUUCUUUUUUUUCUUAUCCUCCUUAUAUCCUUGCCAUCUUUCUCUGUAAUUUUUGUUGAUUUAGGGUUCACUCAUUUUGGUGACUCAGAUCGUGUUCCCUAACGAACUGGAACACAAACAUCCUACGAAUUGGGAUGCACAAAUUAGGUUGCCAAACUCAGGGGGUUGUAGCGAAACUGGCAAUUAUGCAUGAAACCCAUGGGAAUAGGCAAAUCUAGUAACUAUGUUUGAAAUUGUUGUUUUGGAGUUAUGGCCUCUAAUCAACAUUUGAAGAUGACACUUUUCUCAACAGCAAUAUCAAACAAAUUCUAUACUUACCAAAUGCAAAAAUGGCAAUACAAAAUCAACAUACUUUUAGGACAUAUAUGCAUGCAUAUGUGAAUAUCAUGAGCCCCAAAACUUCCCUUAGUCAUUGAAGAACACUAAAAAUAAAGUUGACUAACUGACAUAAGAGACUACAUCUCACAACUUCUUCAAGUUUAAAGCAACAGAAUGCACUAAUCUAUCUAAUCAUUUAGUAAAAUAUCUUCCAAAGAAACAAAAACUACUCAAUGAACUUAUGCAAGUCAGUACCUUUGCUUCCUAAAACAUGUAAC